rnacentral:rRNA from 1 species
GACGAACGCUGGCGGCGUGCUUAACACAUGCAAGUCGAACGGAAAGGCCCUGCUUUUGUGGGGUGCUCGAUUGGCGAACGGGUGAGUAACACGUGAGUAACCUGCCCUUGACUUUGGGAUAACUUCAGGAAACUGGGGCUAAUACCGGAUAGGAGCUCCUGCUGCAUGGUGGGGAUUGGAAAGUUUCGGCGGUUGGGGCUGGACUCGCGGCUUAUCAGCUUGUUGGUGGGGUAGUGGCUUACCAAGGCUUUGACGGGUAGCCGGCCUGAGAGGGUGACCGGCCACAUUGGGACUGAGAUACGGCCCAGACUCCUACGGGAGGCAGCAGUGGGGAAUAUUGCACAAUGGGCGGAAGCCUGAUGCAGCAACGCCGCGUGCGGGAUGACGGCCUUCGGGUUGUAAACCGCUUUCGCCUGUGACGAAGCGUGAGUGACGGUAAUGGGUAAAGAAGCACCGGCUAACUACGUG